rnacentral:rRNA from 1 species
GAUGAACGCUGGCGGCGUGCCUAAUACAUGCAAGUCUUUCGAACGGACGUGAAGCUUGCUUUUCUGCUGUUAGCGGCGGACGGUUGAGUAAAACGUGGAUACCCUACCUUUAAGACUGGGAUAACUUCGGGACACCUGAGCUAAUACCAGAUCAUAUUUUGACCCGCAUGGUUCAAAAGUGAAAGACGGUCUUGCUGUCCCUUAUAUAUGGAUCCGCGCUGCAUUAGCUAGUUGGUAAGGUAACGGCUGACCAAGGCAACGAUGCAUAGCCGACCUGAGAGGGUGAGGGGGCACACCUGAAAUGAGACACGGUCAAGACUCCUAUGGGAGGCAGCAGUAGGGAAUAUGCCGCAAAGGGCGAAAGAAUGACGGAGCAAGGGCGCGAGAGUGAUGAAGGUAUUCGGAUCGUAAAACUCAGUUAUUAGGGAAGAAAAUAUGUGUAAGUAACUGUGAAAAAAAUGACGGUACCUAAACAGAAAGCGACGGCUAAAUACGUG